GUCUUUCUUUUCGCAUACAUUUUCUUCUUUAUUCUAAUUUCAGCAAAACAUUAAAGUACAAUACAAAGAAAAAAAAAGAAAGAAAAACUAUAUAUAUCCCACCAUAGCUGAACUUGAUUUAUAAUUUUUUCUGCCACGGCAGGAAGUAAUAGAUAUAUAAUUUGGUCUAAGUGAAUUUACACCCUAGAAGAUGCUUGCAGGGAUUCUUUCUUCCACUUCACCAAACGUUGAAGAAACUAGAGGAGACGUCAUCGGAGGAGAUUACCAUGGGAAAGGAGAUGUCGUCGAAGGAGGUCGUUGUCAAAGGAGAUGUCACCGAAAAAGAUUGUCGUCGAAAAAUGAAAGAGGAUCCGAGAUCGUCGCUCUGGCCAGGGAUAGCGUCUAUAGGGAAACAACUUUGACAAUGGA